GAUGAAGAACGUAUCGAAAUGCGAUAAGUAGUGUGAAUUGCAGAAUUCAGUGAAUCAUCGAAUCUUUGAACGCACAUUGCGCCCCUUGUUAUUCCAUGGGGCAUGCCUGUUCGAGCGUCAUUUGUACCUUCAAGCCUUGCUUGGUGUUGGGUGUUUGUCUCGCCUCUGCGCGCAGACUCGCCUCAAAACAAUUGGCAGCCGGCGUAUUGAUUUCGGAGCGCAGUACAUCUCGCGCUUUGCACUCAGAACGACGACGUCCAAAAGUACAUUUUUACACUCUUGACCUCGGAUCAGGUAGGGAUACCCGCUGAACUUAAGCAUAUCAAUAAGCGGAGGA
rnacentral:misc_RNA from 1 species